AGAGUUUGAUCAUGGCUCAGGAUGAACGCUAGCUACAGGCUUAACACAUGCAAGUCGAGGGGAAACGAUAUUGGAAGCUUGCUUCCGAUAGGCGUCGACCGGCGCACGGGUGAGUAACGCGUAUCCAACCUGCCCACCACUUGGGGAUAACCUUGCGAAAGUAAGACUAAUACCCAAUGACGUCUCUAGAAGACAUCUGAAAGAGAUUAAAGAUUUAUCGGUGAUGGAUGGGGAUGCGUCUGAUUAGCUUGUUGGCGGGGUAACGGCCACCAAGGCUACGAUCAGUAGGGGUUCUGAGAGGAAGGUCCCCCGACAUUGGAACUGAGACACGGUCCAAACUCUACGGAGGCA
rnacentral:rRNA from 1 species